rnacentral:rRNA from 1 species
GACGAACCGUGCGAACGUUGUUCGGAAUCACUGGGCUUAAAGGGCGCGUAGGCGGACUGCCAAGUCCGGGGUGAAAGCCUCCGGCUUAACCGGAGAAUUGCCUGGGAUACUGGUGGUCUUGAGGGAGGUAGGGGCACGCGGAACUUCCGGUGGAGCGGUGAAAUGCGUUGAUAUCGGAAGGAACGCCGGUGGCGAAAGCGGCGUGCUGGCCCUCUUCUGACGCUGAGGCGCGAAAGCCAGGGGAGCGAACGGG